rnacentral:lncRNA from 1 species
AUUAAGUUUCACAAACCUUUGCGACGUAUUUAGGAGUUUAUUCACCAUUGGAACGAAAGGAACAAGUUUUUUUCGUGGUUUCACUUUGAGUGGCAUUAAGGACGAAGCUGAUAGUUUCAUGCCUCGACCAAACUUGUACAGUAGACAGCUGCAAACGGAAUGAAGCGGUCAACAUUGAUGCCGAGUAUGAUGUCCGGUGUAACUCUGUAGAGAUGCAGAGCCGCCGAAUUGUAACUUAAGGGUUGGAAAAACCUCGAAAUCAUAUGUAUAUUUUGCGGGAAACCAAUGCCAGUGCUAAAUAAUAAAAAACUAAUCAUCAAAAUCCUAGGUAGCCUAUCAAAAUGUAAUCGAAGCAAUUACUUUUCAUGAAUCUUCUUCAACAAAGUUAAGCGGAAUCAGAUUAUUACUAAAAUGCUCAUGAUAUUCAAAGCAAGACAUUCCCCGACUUAUAAAGUAUUCGGUUUACUUUGGAGCACCCACCAGCAUCCACCGCACAUUGCUAUUGCAAGGGCUUUCAAGCGCCAUCAUGCACAAAACACGAUGCGGUUUUGUAAAUCGACAGGGACUUUGCUCAUGAACAAAAAAACCAGAGCAGUAAACUCCUGAAAACCAGAACCCUAAAUCCUGAUGAUACUACAGAGAGAGGAUUGACAGAUUCAUCCCAUCUCUGGAAAUAUUUCCCUUACUGUGAAGAUUGUGCAACUCCAAAGUGCGUCAUCUUAUGAAGGCGCAAGGGAUUCACUCUCGCACUCCUAUAUAAGUACCAUGCAAUGUAUUGACCGCAAAGCACCUUAGAUGGAAUGCACGCACACUCUGCAUCGUAAAACUCUCACGUUGGUUCUCAUCUAAUGGU